rnacentral:lncRNA from 1 species
UUAAGUGCAGUAAAAUAGCAUAUAUAACGGUUAUGCAUAAAACCGGGGCUUGCCUUUAAUUUAACACUUAGACAGUGUUUGCUGGGGGAGAUACUCGCUUGGCGAGCAUCUACUGGUCAUGUCCAUCAUUCUUCAGGUCGUCCACCAACUGCAUCUUGUGGGUGGCACCACAUCACUGGCUCGAUCAUCAUCUCUCGGUCCUAUAUGAGGUGCAAGAUGCAUAUGUAUGAAUAUAAUGAAAGUAGCACAAAAUAGCACAAGAUAUACUAAGACACAGUGGCGAACUAAACAUUAAUUAGUAAGACACUGCAACAACUAUACGCAAACACUAGUUAUUUAUGUGUCAUUGGGCACACGUAAACACUACCACUGGAAAGACGACGAUCACUACCUACAAUUAACCAACGCAACACGAUAUCACAUGUGCAAGCAUUUAUCGCAUUCGCUCUAAUUUUUCAUUAGUUCUUUUAUUAUUAUAAUAGUUAAGUACACAUAAGUUUUCUAUGACUUAUAUAUUUGGACAGACUUAGACAGAAAGGGAUAUUCAUUUAAUCGGGGUUUUACAAUUAUUCACAAUAUUCUCAUGCAAGCACACACCAAAGAGAAUACACAUGAGGAGAUAGUUUAAUCGUCAUUACAUGUUAUACUACUUUAAUGACGUUGGUUACUUAGUAGUAUUAGCAGAAAGCCAAGGACAGGACAUUAUUCAUUUUGUUUCCCUAAUAUAUCACUGCACUUGUUAACUGUUGAUUAAGCUAAGCUACUUAUUAGACCUUAACCAAUUUAGUUCACUAACUUAGUGAGAUGUGUACUAUUUACUUAUAUAUAACCUGAUUACAUUAGUUACUAUCAUUGUUACUCAUAUUCACUUAAAACCAAAACAAGCAAGCAAUCACUCAAGUCAAACACAAUAGAGUAGAGCAAUCAAUCACUUCUAACACAUUUAGGACAACAGCACAGUAGUUUUUGUUUUAAUCAUAACUCUUCAAAUAUUAGUUCAAAAUUAUCAAACUAGGAUUUUUUGGAAAGCUUAAAAAGUGCUCUACAACAUUGGUAUUGUCAUUACAGCACGAUUAAACACUUAGCAAGGUCGAAUUGUGCAAACACAGCAGCUCUGUCCAGAUUUGGACAGAUUCAGACUUGCAGCUUCAAAAAUUCACAACUAAAGAUUCAGACAUCCAAACAAAGUGAUCCUAGACUUUCUGAAAAGCUAAUUAAAUGUUCUACAAAUUAUUUGUAAACAUGUCAAGGUGAUUCCAUAUUUAACUAAAGAUAAAAGACACUAGAAGACCUUGCUGUCCAGAAUUGGACAGAUUCAGUCUUCAGACUUUAAACAUUCAUAACUAAAUCUUCAGACCACCAAAAAGAGUGAUCCAAGACUUUUUGGAAAGCUUAGCAAAAGUUCUAUACAACUUUUAUAAUCACCAAGAAGUGAUUCUAUGUUGAACUGAAUCAAACAAUUCAGUUUUCGAAUUCUGUUCUGUCAGUGGACAGAACACAACAACCAGUUUGUAAAAUUCAUAACUCUUAAACCAUCAGGCCUGUGGUUAUGAAAUUUUAACACAAGCAAGAUCAGAAAAGCAUCUACAACUUUCUUAUAACGACCAUGAACAGAUUGCAACAUUAAAUUGAGCAAACAAUACAGUUUCUGAAAUCUGUACAAAAUUUGGACAGAUUCAGUCUCUGAAUUUGUGAACAGCAUAACUCCUAAACUGUCAGACCUAUGGCUGUCAAUUUUUAACACCAGCAAGAUAAUAGAGUUUUCUACAAUUCUUCUAUAUGACUUUUCUACAGAAAACAUGAUUUAGUUCAUCAAACAAACAACACAACUAAAACAGUGCGUGCAGUCCAAAACAGCAACUAUAAAUUUUAGCUCCUAUUUACUUCAAGAAUUGUCAUGUUCUAGAGACUGAAAUUUCUCUAACACUUUACUAUUUAUUAGAGUUGAAACAAACAAAAUAGGACCAACAAGUCACUUACAAAUUUUAUCCGAGUCAUUUCGUCCGCUAGAGUUAUUACCACACAAUUAACAAACACAUGCACCAAAAUAAAGUAUUUCGGCACACAUGUCCGACAUCACACAAAAUUGUGAUGAAAUACUAAUAUUUAACUUUAGACCAACAUGACAUAACCAUUUAAACUCUAAUUGGUAUUAAGGUGUAACUCAAGCAUUCCAUGAAACAUGCAUGAUUUUGUUUUCUCCUAAUUUUCACUAACUCGUGUAAUUAUAAAAGGGAUGUUAUUUUAGCACCAUAUGAAACUAUCUAAUUUGGGGCUGGAAUUUUUAUGAGGCAUAGUUAAUAACAAAUUAUGACUAAUGUAUAAAUUUCACAUGCCCAGGUUUUAUAUUUUAUUUACUACAAAAAUAACAAAUUGUUGAUGCAAUAAAGCAUGUGAGACAAGGUUAAAUCUAAAACUAAUUAUUUUCUGUGGAUGCAUGACCAUAUUAAGUUUUCUUAGGCUACUAUAAUAUCAUACAAGGACAGUGUAACAUCAUUUUCUAUUUUUACAUCCAUAUAUGUUUUAUAAAUCAUUUAAAACUACUUAAGGUGCAUUAAACAAGUUAAAUCACUAACUUAAUGAUACAUGCACAACAAUUCAUGAAAUUUUUAUCAGUCACCAAGCAUCACACCAAGCGUCUACUGUAAAAAUGUCAACCCAUUUGGAGCACUGGAGCUACAGAUCCAAAAAUAACAAGCAAAUCAACCUUCUUUUCUCUAUUUAACUUGUUUUAAUUAACACACCAAGAAAACUGUGAACAACAUAUAAGAUUUGUAUUUUUCCUUGAUGGAGUAUGACGACAUCUAACUAACAAAACAGGUUUCAUCACUUUUGGAUUUUUAUAAAUAAAAUUAUGGAGAGAAGCAAGUUCGUUUAUUCUCUAAACCAGUUUUUAAUUACGAAUUUCUACAGAAAAACUUUUCCACUAAAACAUGCCAACCUAUAGAUCCAAUAGUUAGAGAAUUUCAUAAGGAAGCCAACAAAACAAAUUUCGUGAUUUUUGGAGCUCUGAAACUUGAGAUAUGAUUUUUUGAACACAAUACAUAAAUCUGAAAUUUCCAGCACACUCACAUCCGUCCCUGGGCCCACUUGUCAUUGGCUCAGGGAGUCAUCUU